CGCUUCGCUCGUGUGAAGUGGAAAUCCUUUUGUGCCUGGGUGGGCACAAAAGAUUACAAUGUAUAGCGGGAAGAUCU
rnacentral:sRNA from 1 species